CACACUGAAAGAGGGCAAAGGGGAGAAAAAUACUCCCCUUUAGGGAGUAUUGGCUUAUUCUUUAGGAAUUGAGGAAUACAACAUAAAUAAAGGAAGCUGAGCAGUAGGAAGAAAUGAGAACAGAUGUUUGUGUGCUGUUUGAAAUUACCCUGGCCUGCCCUCAUAUCCUGAGUUCAAAGCCUUAGCAGAUCCUUAUUGGAAAGAAAUCACCUUAAGAAUACUUUUUAUGAAAAAAAAAAAAAAAAAGAAUACUUUUUAUGUCUGUUGCAGUUUUAACAAUAGAUAUUUCAAUGAGCAACACCAUAAAAAUAUCAUGGAUGGAUAGAAACUGUUGAUAAAGACAAUAUAUUUUGUAAAGAAAGACCCAAGGAACUCACCUGUGACUCAGAUGCAGUGUGGUGGAAAGUUCAUCUUUGGCUUGUUUGGAAAUGACCUGGAGAUGUGAAAUCUGAAAUUACUGAGUCACAUUUUGCCCCCAAAUACGAGUAGGAUUUGGCAGAGGGACAGAGAGAGAAAGAGCACAAGCAGGGGGAACAACAGACGGAGAAGAAGCAGAAGACU